rnacentral:rRNA from 1 species
UGCAAGUCGAACGGCAGCACGAGAGAGCUUGCUCUCUUGGUGGCGAGUGGCGGACGGGUGAGGAAUACAUCGGAAUCUACCUUUUGGUGGGGGAUAACGUAGGGAAACUUACGCUAAUACCGCAUACGCCCUUCGGGGGAAAGCCGGGGACCUUCGGGCCUGGCGCUGAUAGAUGAGCCGAUGUCGGAUUAGCUAGUUGGUGAGGUAAUGGCUCACCAAGGCGACGAUCCGUAGCUGGUCUGAGAGGAUGAUCAGCCACACUGGAACUGAGACACGGUCCAGACUCCUACGGGAGGCAGCAGUGGGGAAUAUUGGACAAUGGGCGCAAGCCUGAUCCAGCCAUACCGCGUGGGUGAAGAAGGCCUUCGGGUUGUAAAGCCCUUUUGUUGGGAAAGAAAAGCGAUCGGUUAAUACCCGGUUGUUCUGACGGUACCCAAAGAAUAAGCACCGGCUAACUUCGUGCCAGCAGCCGCGGUAAUACGAAGGGUGCAAGCGUUACUCGGAAUUACUGGGCGUAAAGCGUGCGUAGGUGGUGGUUUAAGUCCGUUGUGAAAGCCCUGGGCUCAACCUGGGAAUUGCAGUGGAUACUGGGUCACUAGAGUGUGGUAGAGGAUAGUGGAAUUUCCGGUGUAGCAGUGAAAUGCGUAGAGAUCGGAAGGAACAUCUGUGGCGAAGGCGACUAUCUGGGCCAACACUGACACUGAGG